rnacentral:rRNA from 1 species
UGGGAAUAUUGCACAAUGGGCGAAAGCCUGAUGCAGCGACGCCGCGUGAGGGAUGACGGCCUUCGGGUUGUAAACCUCUUUCAGCAGGGACGAAGCGAAAGUGACGGUACCUGCAGAAGAAGCGCCGGCCAACUACGUGCCAGCAGCCGCGGUAAGACGUAGGGCGCGAGCGUUGUCCGGAUUUAUUGGGCGUAAAGAGCUCGUAGGCGGCUUGUCGCGUCGACUGUGAAAACCCGUGGCUCAACCAUGUGGUCUGCAGUCGAUACGGGCAGGCUAGAAUUCGGUAGGGGAGACUGGAAUUCCUGGUGUAGCGGUGAAAUGCGCAGAUAUCAGGAGGAACACCGGUGGCGAAGGCGGGUCUCUGGGCCGAUAUUGACGCUGAGGAGCGAAAGCGUGGGGAGCGAACA